CGCGGCCUAUCAGCUUGUUGGUGGGGUAACGGCCCACCAAGGCUUCGACGGGUAGCCGGCCUGAGAGGGUGACCGGCCACACUGGGACUGAGACACGGCCCAGACUCCUACGGGAGGCAGCAGUGGGGAAUAUUGGACAAUGGGCGAAAGCCUGAUCCAGCAACGCCGCGUGAGGGAUGACGGCCUUCGGGUUGUAAACCUCUUUCAGCAGGGACGAAGCGCAAGUGACGGUACCUGCAGAAGAAGCACCGGCCAACUACGUGCCAGCAGCCGCGGUAAUACGUAGGGUGCAAGCGUUGUCCGGAAUUAUUGGGCGUAAAGGGCUCGUAGGCGGUCUGUCGCGUCGGGAGUGAAAACUCAGGGCUUAACCCUGAGCCUGCUUCUGAUACGGGCAGACUAGAGGUAUGCAGGGGAGAAUGGAAUUCCUGGUGUAGCGGUGAAAUGCGCAGAUAUCAGGAGGAACACCGGUGGCGAAGGCGGUUCUCUGGGCAUUACCUGACGCUGAGGAGCGAAAGUGUGGGGAGCGAACAGGAUUAGAUACCCUGGUAGUCCACACCGUAAACGUUGGGCGCUAGGUGUGGGACUCAUUCCACGAGUUCCGUGCCGCAGCUAACGCAUUAAGCGCCCCGCCUGGGGAGUACGG
rnacentral:rRNA from 1 species